rnacentral:lncRNA from 1 species
GCCCUGUCAUGGAUACCAGUGAAGACUGUUGACGUGGAGGCUCUGUCCUGGACACAUCACCUAUAUUCGCUGAGGAGAACAAGUAAACCUGUGUCCUUGAGAAUGCUCUGAGAUUGUUAGAAGAUUCUUUGCGCUCUAUCAAACACAUAGAAGAAUGUGCCCAAUAAAUACCCGCUGGAGAAUUGGCUCAGUGGUUAAGAGCAGCAGCUGCUCUUCCAGAGGCCCUGAUUUCAAAUCCCAGUCACCACACUGGUGGCUCACAACCUCCUGCAAUAGGAUCCGAUUCCCUCCUCUGCUAUACAGGUGCACAUGCAGAUAGUAUACUCAUAUAUUAAAUAAAUUUAUUAAAAUUAAUUGCAUAGAAUUAUAACAC